rnacentral:rRNA from 1 species
UACGAAGGGUGCAAACGUUGCUCGGAAUCAUUGGGCGUAAAGCGCACGUAGGCGGCUUUGUAAGUCGGAUGUGAAAUCCCUCGGCUCAACCGAGGACGUGCAUUCGAAACUGCGAGGCUCGAGUAUGGAAGAGGGUCGCGGAAUUCCCGGUGUAGAGGUGAAAUUCGUAGAUAUCGGGAGGAACACCAGUGGCGAAGGCGGCGACCUGGGCCAAUACUGACGCUGAGGUGGCGAAAGCGUGGGGAGCAAACAGG